UCCCGGACGACGCACGUGGAGCAACUAACGAUUUGAUUGCCCAACAAUCGGAUUCGUGACCUAAGCACAUCCGGCAACGAAGUCCCUUCGAUGUUUGGCGGUUUCGCGUUCUAUGGUACCGGUGGUAAUUGAACGUGAAUUCUCACGGUUAGCUGUGCGAUCUUCACGUUGAAUUUCCCCCGCAUACAUCAUGUCGCGUGAGUGGUCUUUCGGUAGCGCAUGUUGGCAGGCCCAGUGAUGUAUUCAUUGGACUGCACGCGUCCGCUCCUCUCAGUGUUUUAUUCCACGUUCAGUGUGGAAUGCGUUGGUUCCUGUGUUGCAUACCUCAUAUAGAUGGGUAUUGUCAGUCCCGGAUGCUUGUUUCGCCAGUUGCCCUCGGCGGCAUGCUGGUGAACCACUUAGUAGCGCUUGUUUUCCACGCGGUGCCCUGCUUGCGGGGUAGCGAUGGGCCAUGAGCGCAUACUUGAUCUCUUGGAUGCGGAAUGCUAAAACAGGCACGGGGCGUAAAAGCCUCAGAUCAUGUGCCUAUACAGUUCCUUGAUGUAAGACGCUCGCGCCACGCUGCAGACCUUCGUUGCGAAGCGAUGCACGGGGCCGACGUCGUCAACGGAUGCUACCUG
rnacentral:misc_RNA from 1 species